rnacentral:rRNA from 1 species
AUUGAACGCUGGCGGCACGCUUUACACAUGCAAGUCGAACGGUAACAGGCCGCAAGGUGCUGACGAGUGGCGAACGGGUGAGUAAUGCAUCGGAACGUGCCCAGUCGUGGGGGAUAACGCAGCGAAAGCUGUGCUAAUACCGCAUACGAUCUGUGGAUGAAAGCGGGGGACCGUAAGGCCUCGCGCGAUUGGAGCGGCCGAUGUCAGAUUAGGUAGUUGGUGGGGUAAAGGCUCACCAAGCCGACGAUCUGUAGCUGGUCUGAGAGGACGACCAGCCACACUGGGACUGAGAAACGGCCCAGACUCCUACGGGCGGCAGCAGUGGGGAAUUUUGGACAAUGGGCGCAAGCCUGAUCCAGCAAUGCCGCGUGCAGGAAGAAGGCCUUCGGGUUGUAAACUGCUUUUGUACGGAGCGAAAAGGCUCUCUCUAAUACAGGGGGCUCAUGACGGUACCGUAAGAAUAAGCACCGGCUAACUACGUGCCAGCCGCCGCAGUAAUAC